ACUCAGCUGUUUACGGUACACUACCUGGUAAUUAUGUCACGCUUGCACCCCUAACUUAAAUGUUCAAUAGAUAUCAAGAGAGGACCUAUCGCGAAGUUACCAGAUCAGGUAUUCUCGAAACAUCGAUGUGGCCAGCAAGAGUUAUAUAACGCAUUGGCGUAACGCAACACGAGUUAGGUUGAAAAGAGGAUGCGAUCUUAAUCCGCCCCAUAACACUAUGGACAUACACCUAAGCCAGUAAUCGGCUUGCAGUGCGCUCUAAAAACUAUAAGUUCAUGUCUGAUAUUGUAUCUCCACCUAAGUACCGGUAUCUGUUGGACGCGAAAGCCGAGCAAUGACAAAGGAAACGCCCC